GGUUUGGCCUACAAUAUAGAGGAUGGGCGCAAAGGCAUUUCAAGACUUACGUCUAGCAUGCCAACUACAUUAUGACACGCAAGCUGACGAAUGGUUACGAGAAGCAACAAAGGUAUACAAUAAGGUUCCUAAGUUUAAUGGAGCAGUUACACGUCCUGCGUUAACAGAUCCUGGAACUCAAUGGAGAGCGUGAAAGGGGAAAAAUUCGAAAGACCGUCCGUCAAAAAGGAUGAGACUGGUUCCAACUUCAGAACUGUUUGAAGGGCU
rnacentral:lncRNA from 1 species